AUGCGCCGCGUUCCUGAUCUUCCAUGCCGCCUUUAUGGCCUUUAUUGGGCCGCGGUGGACGAACGACGCGCACCCGCGCACGAAGCCAGAGGACUUCACCGUGCCUGCGUGCCACCCAAGUGGAUCCCCUUCCCGUCCACCACCGUCUUCCUCCACCACGAGGCCCGGCGGAUGCUCGCUGACAACUUCGGUGAAAACGCGUCAGGCAGGUCGGACACUGACCGUUUGCGGGACGUGUUCGAGCGGUGCCGCCUCACCAUCCACCGGAGCUGUCGCGAGCUGGAGCCUCGCAUGUUCACAAUCCUCUCUGAUCUCUUGCGGAAGCCCGCCAUCCCCGCCGAGAUCCUGUUACCUGGGGCGACCGACGACCGUAAUGAAGACCACGGGCAGAGCAGCUCUAGCGGCGCCGACGGUCGCCAGGUCCUACGUUGGCUCGACGACCAACCACCCAAGUCUGUCAUCUACGUCGGGCUGGGAAGCGAGGCGCCACUGACGCUAGAGAACAUCCAUGAACUCGCGCUCGGACUGGAGCUCGCCGGGGUGCACUUCCUUUGGGCGCUACGCAAGCCGGCCGGCACAAACAACAAGCAGGAGCUGUUGCCGGCUGGGUUCGAGGAGCGGACGCAGGACCGUGGGGUGGUCUGCACAGGGUGGGUGCCGCAGGUGAAGGUGCUCGCUCACGGCGCCCCGACCGCGUUCCUGACGCACUGCGGCUGGGGCUCCACCAUCGAGAGCUUCGGCUUCGGCCUUCCGCUGGUCAUGCUGCCUUUCCUCACCGACACGCCUAUGAUCGCGCGGGCCAUGGCGGAGAGAGGAAUCGGCGUGCUGGUGCCAAGGGACGGCAGUGACGGCUCAUUUGACAGGGACGGUGUCGUGGUGGUCGUGCGGCGCGUCAUGUCGGAGGAUGAGGGGAAGGUGUUCGCGACCAACGCCAAGAAGCUGAAAGAGCUUGUGCUGGACGAGAGGUGCCAGGAGCAGUACAUUCACGAGCUCGAGGAGCACCUGAGACGCUACAAAGAAGCCAGAAGCAGUGCAUGA
rnacentral:rRNA from 1 species